rnacentral:rRNA from 1 species
UACGAAGGGGGCUAGCGUUGUUCGGAAUUACUGGGCGUAAAGCGUGCGCAGGCGGCCCAUCAAGUCAGGGGUGAAAGCCCAGAGCUCAACUCUGGAAUUGCCUCUGAAACUGGUGGGCUUGAGUGCGGGAGAGGUGAGUGGAAUUCCGAGUGUAGAGGUGAAAUUCGUAGAUAUUCGGAAGAACACCAGUGGCGAAGGCGGCUCACUGGACCGCAACUGACGCUCAUGCACGACAGCGUGGGGAUCAAACAG